GCCGGCCUUCCUCCGAUCCACACCUCCACUCUAUCUCUCUCAAUCUUGAAGAAACUAGAAGAUUUAUUUCUACUUUACAUUGGAUGCUAAGCCUAAAAAGAAAUAUUAUUUAGAGAAGAGGUUUUCCUUCGAGGGCACCCCUCAAUCUCUAUGAUAAUUUCUUGUCUCCUCCAGGGGCCAGAGGGGGUCUCCUUAUAUAGUCCUCCCCUUCUAUGCGUUUUUGGGUCGAUAGGCGAGGUGGUACUAUGUUAUUCUGGAUCCAAUAGGUCGGUGGAACGUCGUGUGCGAAGAGAGUCCGGAACGGAGUCUAGAGGGGGGCGGGCGCCCAGGUCCUCAGGGCGGGCGCCCUGGGCCUGGCCCCUUUAGGGCUCCGCUUCCUUCCGGUGGCUUCUGGAGUCUUCUAGAUGGUAGAAAACUGCGCGGUGGGUUGAUAUCUCUAUGUAAUCCCGACAUGUGGGCCUUUCUUCCUUAUUUCCUGAUAACCCCCUGUAGAAAUAGACAAACACCAAAACUCGUGGAAUUCUGUCAGAUAAAACCCUAAGUCUAGAUGUUGAUUUCUUUUGGAUCCUUUUCUUUGUUUAUUUGAUAAUUAAAUUUGAUACUUAAGGACCGUCAACAAACUCCCCCAAGCUUACCUCUUGCUCGUCCCUGAGCAAGGAUGAACUCAAGAGUUUCUGCAGUGGUUUCAUUUCUUAGAAGUACACACGCAUUUAAGCAAGAUCUCAUCUCUGAGUUAGAAUAAACUGUUAAGACUUAAAACUUACUUACUUUACCUACACCAUAGGACUUGUAACCGUCACUUCUGUCUUGAGUGGUUAAAAGAUAGAACAGUCUAGCCAAGUGUCAUGUCUCUUAUUCUUGAUCAGCUAUAGCUCUGGGGUUUUUGCAGAUUUUCAAAUAAAACUCAGAAAUUCCUUGUAUGAUUCUCUCAGGUCUCUCUUUUGUGGUAUUUUUGGAUCCUUACCAAGGCAGUGAUGGUAUAUGCCUUCUCUCAAGAUAUGUAGUAUUUGUGGUAUGAAGCAUAGUGACAUUGUCUUCUCUCUCACCCUACUCUAAUAAGGCUUUAAUAUCUGGAGCUCAUAGGUGGGAGAUAAAGUAUACAUACUUACAAGACAUUUAUUGCAUAGUCAAACCAUGGAUCCAGAGAAACAAGUCAAUAAGUCAAAUCAAGAUGUGCAUGUGUGGCGAAUGUAUGGUGUAUGGUGAUGAUGGUGAUAACAAUGGUGAAAGUCUAAUUCUACUUUUGCUCUUUUAAGGGGAUACAUACCUUUCUUGCACUUAGAAGCUUUUUGGGGAGAAUGAGAUGCUCUAUAUUUUCUUUUUCUUACCUCUCAGGUGGGUAUCUAGUACCCCUAAUUCUACUGUCGGACACUUGUCCAUUUUUACCUCUCGUCUCACUUUUUCUUUUCUUCGAGGUUCCGGGCACUUGCCCCUUUUUAUUUCCUCGUAUAUUAUUUAUUUUUAUUUAUAUUUUUUUUCUUCUUUUUUUUCUCUUUUUUUUUCUUUCUAGAGCACUCAUCUCCUGAAAUAAUGUAGCAAGUGGUAGUAACCAAAAUAACUGGAGCAUUUAUUUCACAGGGAAUAACAGGGAUAGGAAAAUGUUUUUGGCUAUUCUCUCCCGGAUUAGGAGUAGAAUAAUUUUGGGUAAAACUGGAGAUAGAAAUGAGUGGAUAUAUGUGGAUGGUACUUCCGGAGUAGAAGUAGCAUGUAUGAGUAAUCGUGCAAGUGAAUCUUGAUUUUAACCACAUGACAAGCUCCUAAGGGUCUACACAGCUUGACCACACUCAAUGCUCAUAAGCAGUAAAUAGUAAAUGUGUGGCUCAAGGUCUAGCAAGCAUGUAUAUAUGGCUAUGGUAGGAAUUUAAACUCUCAUCAUACAGGAACUCAUCAUGCAACAUUUUAAAGAUUUUCAAAGAUAAAAUUCUCCAGAAUUCUAGCAUCUCUAGGAAUAGAUAAACAGCAGCUCAACCUUCCCAUAUCGUAUCCGUUAACAACUUAGACUUCAGCUCAAGUUUUCAUCCCACAAGUUUAGGUCUAGAGCAAGCCUUAAAUUAUAACAGUUAUAUCUACACUUGAGAGAGAACUUCAAAUUUGCAAAUUAGACAGAGCAACUAUUCAUCAUAUCCAUGCUUAAGUUUUAUUAGAUACAGAUUAGCAUAGCCACUUUAUUUAUUUAUUAAACAUACUAAGCAAAAUAUAUAUAAGCAUAAAAUCUUCAUUUGGUUUUUCAUAGUUAUGUGUAUUUAUAUUCUAAUAUAGUAUAAGUAUAAAGAUAGAUAGAAAUACUUAUCGAGAUAAAUGGGGGUGCUCUCCCCCAAGCUGAAUUUUGACGUAAUUUCUCUUGAUGUAGCUAGCAGGUGGCAGAGGUGUGUUUGAAAGUCAGCAGUAUUUUGACAACGAUUAGAAUGUCCUCCGUCUGCUAGUCUUCUUGAUUCUUAAAUUCUGUGGAGCUCAAAUAGACAACAAAGCUUGUGGAACUAAUUAAGUGUUAGCAUAAAUAUCUAGCCUUCAUCAUGUUGAGCUUCCUUAAUAAAUGUUAUUUAUUUAGCAGGAUCAUAUACUUAUUAUUAUUAUAUAUAUAUAUAUAUAUUUAUAUAUUUUUAAUGUAAGAUGAAAACUCAAAGUUAUCUCAGCAAACCGUCUUUCUCCCCGGCAACGGCGCCAGAAAUGCUUGUUGAUAUUUGGUAACGCAAUAAGGAAACGAUCCGCAAGCGCACGAAUAUCGGUGAGCAUUUCACCCGGGAGGUUAUCUAGAGUUAUCGUAUUUAUAUUUUUACCACUGGGAGAAAGGGUGCAUCUGACUAACCAAAUCUAUUGCUACUAUCUCUUUAGGCUACAAAGAAUGUUUCUCGAUGUGAGUGAUGUAUAGAGAAGACUGCAACCUUAGUCUCGUUCUAACCUUGGUAAGGAUGAUCUACUGUUCUAUUGGGGAGGCUCACGGAAUCUAGACAAUGCAAAGGAUGUUCGACCCGCACCUAUAAACCUACCCGUCCUGCUAACGAGAUGUGAUCUGCAAAGGUAACUCGGAAAUGUCACGUUCCUCGCUACUACCACGGUCCAGCUAGUCAGGGGAUAUCUAUGAGUACCCUAGCCUAAACACCACGUUUACGCUAACAAGUGAUUACUCUAAUACUCAACCGGAAGAGGAUUAAAGUAAACUCAUAAACCAAACAACAAUAAAACAAGAACUUACUAGUAUUAGAAGUCGAAUUACUGAAGAAUCUUAGAAGCAAGCCUCGGGUUAGGAGACUUGAUCCCGCAGGUACAACUCAGAGUAGACACCGACAGGCCGGCCUUCCUCCGAUCCACACCUCCACUCUAUCUCUCUCAAUGUAAUAGAAACUAGAAGAUCUAUUUCUACUUUACAUUGGAUGCUAAGCCUAAAAAGAAAUAUUAUUUAGAGAAGAGGUUUUCCUUCGAGGGCCCCCCUCAAUCUCUAUGAUAAUUUCUUGUCUCCUCCAGGGGCCAGAGGGGGUCUCCUUAUAUAGUCCUCCCCUUCUAUGCGUUUUUGGGUCGAUAGGCGAGGUGGUACUAUGUUAUUCUGGAUCCAAUAGGUCGGUGGAACGUCGUGUGCGAAGAGAGUCCGGAACGGAGUCCAGAGGGGGGCGGGCGCCCAGGUCCUCAGGGCGGGCGCCCUGGGCCUGGACCCUUUCGGGCUCCGCUUCCUUCCGGUGGCUUCUGGAGUCUUCUAGAUGGUAGAAAACUGCGCGGUGGGUUGAUAUCUCUAUGUAAUCCCGACAUGUGGGCCUUUCUUCCUUAUUUCCUGAUAACCCCCUGUAGAAAUAGACAAACACCAAAACUCGUGGAAUUCUGUCAGAUAAAACCCUAAGUCUAGAUGUUGAUUUCUUUUGGAUCCUUUUCUUUGUUUAUUUGAUAAUUAAAUUUGAUACUUAAGGACCGUCAACAAACUCCCCCAAGCUUACCUCUUGCUCGUCCCUGAGCAAGGAUGAACUCAAGAGUUUCUGCAGAGGUUUCAUUUCUUAGAAGUACACACGCAUUUAAGCAAGAUCUCAUCUCUGAGUUAGAAUAAACUGUUAAGACUUAAAACUUACUUACUUUACCUACACCAUAGGACUUGUAACCGUCACUUCUGUCUUGAGUGGUUAAAAGAUAGAACAGUCUAGCCAAGUGUCAUGUCUCUUAUUCUUGAUCAGCUAUAGCUCUGGGGUUUUUGCAGAUUUUCAAAUAAAACUCAGAAAGUCCUUGUAUGAUUCUCUCAGGUCUCUCUUUUGUGGUAUUUUUGGAUCCUUACCAAGGCAGUGAUGGUAUAUGCCUUCUCUCAAGAUAUGUAGUAUUUGUGGUAUGAAGCAUAGUGACAUUGUCUUCUCUCUCACCCUACUAUAAUAAGGCUUUAAUAUCUGGAGCUCAUAGGUGGGAGAUAAAGUAUACAUACUUACAAGACAUUUAUUGCAUAGUCAAACCAUGGAUCCAGAGAAACAAGUCAAUAAGUCAAAUCAAGAUGUGCAUGUGUGGCGAAUGUAUGGUGUAUGGUGAUGAUGGUGAUAACAAUGGUGAAAGUCUAAUUCUACUUUUGCUCUUUUAAGGGGAUACAUACCUUUCUUGCACUUAGAAGCUUUUUGGGGAGAAUGAGAUGCUCUAUAUUUUCUUUUUCUUACCUCUCAGGUGGGUAUCUUGUACCCCUAAUUCUACUGUCGGACACUUGUCCAUUUUUACCUCUCGUCUCACUUUUUCUUUUCUUCGAGGUUCCGGGCACUUGCCCCUUUUUAUUUCCUCGUAUAUUAUUUAUUUUUAUUUAUAUUUUUUUUCUUCUUUUUUUUCUCUUUUUUUUCUUUCUAGAGCACUCAUCUCCUGAAAUAAUAUAGCAAGUGGUAGUAACCAAAAUAACUGGAGCAUUUAUUUCACAGGGAAUAACAGGGAUAGGAAAAUGUUUUUGGCUAUUCUCUCCCGGAUUAGGAGUAGAAUAAUUUUGGGUAAAACUGGAGAUAGAAAUGAGUGGAUAUAUGUGGAUGGUACUUCCGGAGUAGAAGUAGCAUGUAUGAGUAAUCGUGCAAGUGAAUCUUGAUUUUAACCACAUGACAAGCUCCUAAGGGUCUACACAGCUUGACCACACUCAAUGCUCAUAAGCAGUAAAUAGUAAAUGUGUGGCUCAAGGUCUAGCAAGCAUGUAUAUAUGGCUAUGGUAGGAAUUUAAACUCUCAUCAUACAGGAACUCAUCAUGCAACAUUUUAAAGAUUUUCAAAGAUAAAAUUCUCCAGAAUUCUAGCAUCUCUAGGAAUAGAUAAACAGCAGCUCAACAUUCCCAUAUCGUAUCCGUUAACAACUUAGACUUCAGCUCAAGUUUUCAUCCCACAAGUUUAGGUCUAGAGCAAGCCUUAAAUUAUAACAGUUAUAUCUAAACUUGAGAGAGAACUUCAAAUUUGCAAAUUAGACAGAGCAACUAUUCAUCAUAACCAUGCUUAAGUUUUAUUAGAUACAGAUUAGCAUAGCCACUUUAUUUAUUUAUUAAACAUACUAAGCAAAAUAUAUAUAAGCAUAAAAUCUUUAUUUGGUUUUUCAUAGUUAUGUGUAUUUAUAUUCUAAUAUAGUAUAAGUAUAAAGAUAGAUAGAAAUACUUAUCGAGAUAAAUGGGUGUGCUCUCCCCCAAGCUGAAUUUUGACGUAAUUUCUCUUGAUGUAGCUAGCAGGUGGCAGAGGUGUGUUUGAAAGUCAGCAGUAUUUUGACAGCGAUUAGAAUGUCCUCCGUCUGCUAGUCUUCUUGAUUCUUAAAUUCUGUGGAGCUCAAAUAGACAACAAAGCUUGUGGAACUAAUUAAGUGUUAGCAUAAAUAUCUAGCCUUCAUCAUGUUGAGCUUCCUUAAUAAAUGUUAUUUAUUUAGCAGGAUCAUAUACUUAUUAUUAUUAUAUAUAUAUAUUUAUAUAUUUUUAAUGUAAGAUGAAAACUCAAAGUUAUCUCAGCAAACCGUCUUUCUCCCCGGCAACGGCGCCAGAAAUGCUUGUUGAUAUUUGGUAACGCAAUAAGGAAACGAUCCGCAAGCGCACGGAUAUCGGUGAGCAUUUCACCCGGGAGUUUAUCUAGAGUUAUCGUAUUUAUAUUUUUACCACUGGGAGAAAGGGUGCAUCUGACUAACCAAAUCUAUUGCUACUAUCUCUUUAGGCUACAAAGAAUGUUUCUCGAUGUGAGUGAUGUAUAGAGAAGACUGCAACCUAAGUCUCGUUCUAACCUUGGUAAGGAUGAUCUACUGUUCUAUUGGGGAGGCUCAAGGAAUCUAGACAAUACAAAGGAUGUUCGACCCGCACCUAUAAACCUACCCGUCCUGCUAACGAGAUGUGAUCUGCAAAGGUAACUCGGAAAUGUCACGUUCCUCGCUACUACCACGGUCCAGCUAGUCAGGGGAUAUCUAUGAGUACCCUAGCCUAAACACCACGUUUACGCUAACAAGUGAUUACUCUAAUACUCAACCGGAAGAGGAUUAAAGAAAACUCAUAAACCAAACAACAAUAAAACAAGAACUUACUAGUAUUAGAAGUCGAAUUACUGAAGAAUCUUAGAAGCAAGCCUCGGGUUAGAAGACUUGAUCCCGCAGGUACAACUCGGAGUAGACACCGACAGGCCGGCCUUCCUCCGAUCCACACCUCCACUCUAUCUCUCUCAAUCUAGUAGAUACUAGAAGAUCUAUUUCUACUUUACAUUGGAUGCUAAGCCUAAAAAGAAAUAUUAUUUAGAGAAGAG
rnacentral:lncRNA from 1 species